CCAUGCUCGUUUUGGCAGCACAUAUAUUGGAAUGAUACAGAGAAGACAUGUAUGCCCCCUGUGUAAGGAUGGCAUGCAAAUUUAUAAAGCAUUAAAAAAAUCA
rnacentral:snRNA from 1 species